AACGAACGCUGGCGGCAUGCCUAACACAUGCAAGUCGAACGAGACCUUCGGGUCUAGUGGCGCACGGGUGCGUAACGCGUGGGAACCUGCCCUUAGGUUCGGAAUAACUCCCCGAAAGGGGUUCUAAUACCGGAUAAUUUCUUCGUACCAAAGAUUUAUCGCCUUUGGAUGGGCCCGCUUUGGAUUACCUAGUUGGUAGGGUAAAAGCCUACCAAGGCGACGAUCCAUAGCUGGUCUGAGAGGAUGAUCAGCCACACUGGGACUGAGACACGGCCCAGACUCCUACGGGAGGCAGCAGUGGGGAAUAUUGGACAAUGGGCGAAAGCCUGAUCCAGCAAUGCCGCGUGAGUGAUGAAGGCGUUAGGGUUGUAAAGCUCUUUUACCCGGGAUGAUAAUGACAGUACCGGGAGAAUAAGCUCCGGCUAACUCCGUG
rnacentral:rRNA from 1 species